AGACCCGAAACCCGGUGAUCUAGCCAUGGGCAGGUUGAAGGUUGGGUAACACUAACUGGAGGACCGAACCGACUAAUGUUGAAAAAUUAGCGGAUGACCUGUGGCUGGGGGUGAAAGGCCAAUCAAACCGGGAGAUAGCUGGUUCUCCCCGAAAGCUAUUUAGGUAGCGCCUCGUGAAUUCAUCUCCGGGGGUAGAGCACUGUUUCGGCUAGGGGGCCAUCCCGGCUUACCAACCCGAUGCAAACUGCGAAUACCGGAGAAUGUUAUCACGGGAGACACACGGCGGGUGCUAACGUCCGUCGUGAAGAGGGAAACAACCCAGACCGCCAGCUAAGGUCCCAAAGUCAUGGUUAAGUGGGAAACGAUGUGGGAAGGCCCAGACAGCCAGGAUGUUGGCUUAGAAGCAGCCAUCAUUUAAAGAAAGCGUAAUAGCUCACUGGUCGAGUCGGCCUGCGCGGAAGAUGUAACGGGGCUAAACCAUGCACCGAAGCUGCGGCAGCGAACGUAUCACUUAAAGCGAUUCAGCGGGUUACGAUUGACGGAGCGAAGCGACGUCAAAGCGUAUACAAAGUCGAGUCGGUUUAAGGAUACGUUCGUUGGGUAGGGGAGCGUUCUGUAAGCCUGUGAAGGUGGCCUGUGAGGGUUGCUGGAGGUAUCAGAAGUGCGAAUGCUGACAUAAGUAACGAUAAAGCGGGUGAAAAGCCCGCUCGCCGGAAGACCAAGGGUUCCUGUCCAACGUUAAUCGGGGCAGGGUGAGUCGACCCCUAAGGCGAGGCCGAAAGGCGUAGUCGAUGGGAAACGGGUUAAUAUUCCCGUACUUGGUGUUACUGCGAAGGGGGGACGGAGAAGGCUAUGUUGGCCGGGCGA
rnacentral:rRNA from 1 species